rnacentral:rRNA from 1 species
UACGAAAGGGGCUAGCGUUGUUCGGAAUUACUGGGCGUAAAGCGCGCGUAGGCGGGCUAGCAAGUUGGGGGUGAAAUCCCGGGGCUCAACCUCGGAACUGCCUCCAAAACUGCUAGCCUAGAGGAUGUGAGAGGAUAGUGGAAUUCCGAGUGUAGAGGUGAAAUUCGUAGAUAUUCGGAAGAACACCAGUGGCGAAGGCGACUGUCUGGCGCAUUUCUGACGCUGAGGUGCGAAAGCGUGGGGAGCAAACAGG